GCCCACGUGGUGAAAUUGGUAGACACGCCAUCUUGAGGGGGUGGUGGGCUUAUGCCCGUGGAAGUUCGAAUCUUCUCGUGGGCA
rnacentral:tRNA from 1 species